AUGAAUUGCUGCAUUUUUUUCUUAGACCGUAUUUGGAUAAACAGCUUAAUAAAGUGCUUAUUGUAUAGGUGUUUAUGUAUAUGUUGUUUUUAUAACAGAAGAUCAAUAACGUCGAACGGUUUUCAUUGGAUAUCCUGGGUCAUAGGCUUAAAAUUUUUUUACAGUUGUAAUAAGUUGUUUAUAUAUGUAAUUAUUAAUUGCAACCGUCUCAUUAUAAGUCAAUCCAAACAAACCCUUAAACACAUUUGA